CGGGCCUGGGCCGUGUGGAGACCCUCCAUGGCGCUGGACAGCCAGAUGAGUCUCUUGAGGCUCUGGAUGUUGCGGCCGCGGUCGUGCAUCAGCUGGUGCUCGCUCACAGCUCGGCGGCUGCGAGGAGACGGAGGAAAGGAUCCGACCACGCGCGCUGUGCACCGGCAGGGUUCUGUACUGUCACUUUCCCCCGACAAAGAGUGAAAAGCUCGAUGGAUCACUCCACCUCUCGUUCUGUUGGCACUGUCCUGCUGCGAGGGCGACGAGCAGCAUGGCGGCGAGCCACCGCACAGACCUGUGGGACAUCGUCUGCAUCGUCUGCAGACAAACAGCGGGAAACCACGACUUGUCAUUUCAAAGGAAAAAGAACGAGGAGCAUUAAUAUAUUACCGUAGUUAGACACAACCAUUUUAGCUUAUGACCCAUUGGAAUUAAGGAAUGUCUAAUUUCUAUAGCUCAGUUUUGGUAAUAGAUAAAUCUACCAGUUGUGAUGAGUUCAACUUCCGACUGGUUUCCUCA